rnacentral:rRNA from 1 species
UACGGGGGGGAGCAAGCGUUGCUCGGAUUUACUGGGCGUAAAGGGCGCGUAGGCGGCGUGACAAGUCACUUGUGAAAUCUCCGGGCUUAACUCGGAACGGUCAAGUGAUACUGUCGUGCUAGAGUACAGAAGGGGCAACUGGAAUUCUCGGUGUAGCGGUGAAAUGCGUAGAGAUCGGCAGGAACACCCAGGGGGAAACCAGUCGACUGGGCAUCUACUGACGCUGAGGUGCGAGAGCGUGGGGAGCAAACAGG